CGGAAAACAAAACACAAAAACAAACAGAACCACGCGCGACUGCUCCUACUUCGUUCAGGCUGCGGGAAACGGUGCCGGGACGAAAAGGGGCGGCUGGGACAGCCCGCUGCAGCUGCAGCCCAGCGCCGGGCCCAGAUCCCACAAUCAUCCAUCAUCUAGAGAAGAACUUUACAGCCUAAUUGUGAGUCAGCCCAGAACAUUUAAGUAUCCUUACUGAGAUGGGAAUUUGAAUGAGGAAAAACGGUCCAUUUCCAGGGGAGAUGAAUUGAAGACCCUGUCAUGUGUCACUGGUGGCAUCUCUGUGCUGGGUUACUGCUGCAUCUUCAACUGAGGGAAAGAAAAGAAUUUGGGUUAUCACCUGAUGCCUGCUGAACGUUCACGAAACCAGCCGGUCUCAGAGUUGGAAUGUUCCAAAUCCCCAUUUGGAGCUGAGUACGUAUGUUAUGGAGUCAGUUGUGACACCACUUUAUAGAGAACAGACAAUGAGUUUUGGAUCUUGUGAGUACCUUUCCUCCCUGUAAAGAAGAACCCUUCCCCCACUCUUUUGGAAACAUCUCAGUCUGUAUUGGAAACAGAGGAUGUAAUUUAUUUUUAUCGCUUUCCCUGUCAAACUGGCCAAGUGCCACAGGUUUCUGCUUUCAGAUGUAGCAAGAGGCAGAGAAAUCACAGUGCAGUGCCAUUUAUGUCAGUGGCUCCUCCUCUGUUUUCUUAUCUUAUUUUUGUGGCUACCUACUGAGUUAUCUUAUCACUCUUUAUAAUCCUGCAAAACUCUGCAACUUGACCCCUCCACAGAAAGAGCUGACCUGCUUAGACCUCCCUGCUCUCUACUCCUGCUCCCUUCCUUGCAGAGCAAGUUGCUCUGUCCUUUGUUACUUUACAGCUUCUUUCUUACUGCCUAUCUUACCCCCUCACUCCUUUUCCUAGCUCAUUACAUUACAUUUCCUAGCUGAAUGUGCACUCAGCUGUGUGGCCUCCUUGGAGUACGCUUAAUUUCUCACUGUCCAGCCCGCUCUUUGAUGUCUGAUGAAGAAGGAUACAUCUUCUUUUCCAUCUCUUCACAUAUGCCUAUUAAUUACUCUCUUCAGAGAGGCUGUUUACUGACUAUCACUCUGUUUACAAUUGAAUACAGCUAAACAUUUGGUCUUCACAAUUCCCCCUCUUCUACACCACCCACCCAGUUUCUUCCCAGUUGUUGCAAAAUAGAUGUCUCCAAAUCACUUUAUAAAAUCACAGAUGCAACAUACUUACUUUCCCACACCCACCCUCCUGCUUUCAAACACUGUAUUCUCUUCACUCAGAGAGAAGUAAAGUAAGUCUUUAUAUUGGUAUUUCUGUCUCCAGUUCUCUAAUAAAAACGCAGCAGUGAAGCUUAACAAUUUGACCUGUUGCACAUAUCCUUACCUUGUGAAUUGUGGAACACCCAGAAAGAUCUGUGAGCUUCAGAUUUCUGACCUGUGAAGAAAAAAUAUGAACUCAGUACAAAAUACAAAAGUAUGCCCACUCAAAUGGGACUACGCAUAAACUAUACAUAUGGUUUCAUGGGAUCAAGGGCCUUUGGGCGGAGGGAAUUUUAAUAGGAUGGGGUGACUAAAAAUUACUCCAGCAAACAUAUAGAAGGGAAGAAUUAUAUGGUUAUAAUACUGCAACUUAGAUCUAAGAUGAAAAUUCCUUCAGAUGUCCUUCUCAUUGUUCCAUAUGGAGCUUAAAAUAUUACAGAAUAAUGUGAAAUAAAUUGAAAACAUAUGUGGGCUAAAUUAUGGUAUUUUUUUUUUCUUCUAAUGAACAGGUUAUUGAUAAUCUUUUACCAUUUGUAUUUGUGGAAAGGAAAGAAGCAGGUACCUUAAAGAGUUUAGGAACUGAUUUAUGACAAGGUAUAUGAAGCACACCAAGUGUGGACAUGACUAGGAAAGAGUGAGAGGAAGACAGUCAGUAAGAGGGGCAUGCACGGUCCACCAGUGGAACAACCUCCAUAUCCCCAAAUCAUUUAAUCUGUGUCUUGGCAUGGCAUCCUUAUCUGUACAGUUAGAGAUGGUUACACAAGUUGCCUGUUGCUUUCUAAUUUUAGUUCCUGUUUUUAGCACCUAUUACUUUACAGAAUUUAACCAUGGGAACCAUCCUGAGAAUUUGUGUUGAAAUCUUUAAGGUUUUGCAGCAAAAAUAACCUAGCCUUUCUGAUAAUUUGAUUAAGAACUGUUGGUUUGUAUAUAUCUCUUCUUUGUUAUUAAUACUACAGAAUUUUACUGCCCAUAAAUUACUGCUUGCAAAUGAGAAUGGUAACAGUCUGUUACAGUAUGUGUUUGUAGGGUCUUGAGUCAGGAAUGUCCUUUUUCCCUGAAAAUGGCCUGUUUGACCAAACUACUGGUUCAAUAAGCUUAUGUUCAAUAUGGGCUUACUAGAUUUGGGUUGAAUGUGACUUCCCAUGUAAUUACUCCUGCCAGCCCCUAAGGUGAGUGUAAUGCUGCAUGCUGGCACUGAGAAGGACUUGCUCUCCAUUUUCCUGUCCCCACUGCUUGCUACUGCUCACUGCAGAGGAAGAGCCAACUGCUGCUUUACCUGAAUGAGGCGUGACAGAGGCAGCCUCAGCACUGGGCCUGGAAGGAACAGCAGUCAGCAUGGAUCAGGCUGGAAGUGAAGACGACCGGACCUAAAGCUGUAAGCCUGAAGGGACAAACCCUCCAAGAUCGGCAAGUGGCCAGGCAAGAAGUGGCACAGGUAUGAGGGGUAGAACUGCCUCUAACAACUGUGGAAACUAGAAGAAACCUAGUGUUGUUAAAUAUCACCAUUGCUCUUCACACUGGCAUGGUAGGCCUAUACUACAUUAACCAUUUCAUUAGGUAAGCAGCAGGGGCAUGUACCAGGAAACUGAAAGUUUGAAGCUUUCUCAUGACCAAUAUUAUUUAGAAACUAUAUUUAGAGGCAGUGAAAUCGAGCUGGUGGGGUAGGGGGACAGGACAGAGGCAAGUGAAGGUGGUAGUCAAGGAAGAGCAAUGGAAGCGUGCCGAGAACGCUCAGUUUGCACAACCUUAGAGUUAAAAAGCCAACAGCUACAGAAACAGUAGAAUUAAGCAGCGUGCAGUUUUGCUUAUUUUUCAUCCAUUAUCCUGGAUAUGUAAAAUAACUAAGCCACAAAAAUAGACAGCAAAAUACAGCAGACACAUGCUAUUUUGGGCUUCAUUCACACUUGUUUCCCUGAUACCCCCGAUGCUCCUAUAAAUGCCGUUUCUGUGUUUAUAUAUAUAUCUCUAUAUAAAAAUACUUUAUAUUAAGAGCUCUAUUGAUACGUUUUUUAUACUCCUAUAUAACAGGAUAAUGACAGGCACUAAUUUAUAUUGUGUAUAGUUACUGUACUUGAAUUUUAUGACACAUUUGCUGUUCUUGUGUGCUAGAAAAGGAAUAAGCAUUUAAAAAACUUUGUGUAUAAUUACACUUUCAGCUAUUAAUUAAUCAUAUAAACAAAUUAAAUGGACAUUUAAUUAAAUGUUACUCUUUUAAAGAUAGAAAUAGAGCCCAUGGACUUCAAAUUGAUACUGUGUGCAUUUGUUUUAAUUAGGUAGUGUUAAGAAUUAAUGGACUUUAGCUGUUAUAUUUAUAUUUAAAUACAUUAACGUUUCCAUCUUUGUAUCAUACAUAGGAUCAUUUGUGAACUCUCUUUUGCUAGGUACUAUACAAACACAAGGUGUAUCUGCAAGACUUACUUCCUUUCUUUGUCACCUUUAAAAGAAAAUAUUGUGAUACCGUCUUCAGCUUUUGCAAGCGUCCACUGACUGUUCUGAUGCUCAAUUUUUUUUGAGAUGGGUACUUUUUGUUUUAGCAAACUGAGGUUGUAGUUUAAGUGAAUGAGGCCAGUACAGUAAACAUAAAGUCCACAAAUGCCCCCAGAUGACUCAUCUGAUUUUGAAAGCAGUGUUUCACUGGUCAGAGAACAUCAUUCAAGAGUAGUCUGUAGCACCUAUUCUGGUCAUGCAGCAAACAAAAUUAAGCCAGGAAGAAGGGGAUGAGAUGCUGAUAAGGGUAUUUCUUUUUUGUGAGAUUUAUUUAAAAGCUUGUUCUAAUAUAAAAGUUGAAGGAAAAACAAACAAAAGCAAAAAGCUGAUAGGAACACAAUUUGAACAGGAGCAAGUAGCACAGGAAUAGUCUCACCAAUUUGGAAAUUAUCUGCUCUGUUCUUUGAAAUGUAGUAGAUUGGAAGUUUGGACCUAAGCAAAUGAUCAGAUAUGGAAACUAUUGGGCUAUUUGAUGUCUUUCUAAUAAACACAAAUUAUGGUUAGUGGUUGUUUCUGCUUCUGUGAUAAGUUAAUGCUUCGAGUACUGUUUAGCUCUGCUCAUUUAGGAGUGCUGGGGAGUAAAAGGCUGAGUGAUGUUCUAUUACUCAGACUUCUCAUUCUACAGCUGGAUUCUUAACUUUGUUUGGAGAACCUAUUUUUGUAAUGAUCGCUACAGUUAUUCAUGUUGAUCAAAGUUCUUUGGUCAUAUUUGAAUAUGAAACACCAAACCUCUACAUUUCCACCACUAGUAUUUCUUUUUCUUCUUUGCAGGCUGGAUAGAGGACACAAGUAAGUGCACAAUUUUAUGUCAGAAUUUCUGUGAGUGUAAGGAACCACUGAAUUUCUUUGUAUAUAAAUAAGUGACCUAGCAAACUAGAUCAAUCUGCUCUGGCAUUUCCCAAGUCUUAGCCAUUAACAUUUAGCAAAGGCAGACAGAAAAGGCCUCAGCAGACAAAUAAGAAAAUAGGGACAAAAAUCUAUGUUACGAAGUUAGCAAGAAGAUGGUGUAUAUUCAUUUUGUACAAAAGUUUUACUAUGAUGCCCAUUUACUUCCUCCUGGACUUUUUAAAGAUGUGAAUUGUUGAGUUUUCCAAAACAAAUGUAAGUUAAUACGCUAUGCAGAGCUUUGAGGGAAAGAGAAAUAGUGCAGAAUUUGCUCCAGCUAUAUGAUCUGCAUUGAUGUCUCUCAUGCUUUUCUGUAAAUCCAGGACUAACAGGAGUCUGUCUAAUGUUGACUGAAUUUUAAGCUAAUUGGAAAUUACUUUCUCAUCUGUUCAAUCACAUUUAGCAACAGUUACUUUUCUUACUGAUGUAGUUUAUAUUUCAUUCCUUUUUAAAAAAUUACUAUUUCAUUUAGAUGAUACUCUUAAAAAAAACAACAAACAAACAAAACAAAACAAAAAAGUGAAUCUCUCCUGAAAAUGAAACUGCUUUGAUGCUCUUGUUCCUCUGUUUAACUGAAAUAACCAGACUUCCAAAAUAUUUACACAGCCACUGACUUCCUGAGCCCUCCAGAAUCAGUUAUGAUCAACUUUUUGUUAAGAUUUCUAUCUGGAUUGGUAUUUGAUACCACUCUAAGAUUUGUUUUUAUUUUUUAAAUCACUUCUUCAUUAACAGUAUUAACAGACACUGUUAAUUGCCUUGGAAAGUUUGAAAAUUCAGGAUUAAGAGAAUUGAUAGGGAUUCCUUUUACAACCCAGGUGAUUUGCAGUUUUGGAGCCUUAGGCCUGAUCUGUGCAGUUUAUGUCCAAUACAAACAUUCCCAGGUGGCUGCAAUCAAACAUCUAAACCAGCUGAAGUCAUGCUGAACAUGCACAUGCAGUUGCUUGGGGUAUCACUUGAACAGGACAUUGGUGUUUUCACAAGGGGAUAAACUCUCAUGAUUUUGCUAUGGCAUCCACGUUGAUGGUGGGAUUAACCAUUCAGUAAAACAAAUGUUGCUGAAACAGUACAAAACUUCCUGCAAAUGGCACCUGACUUAUCUGCAGUUUGCCAGAGGAGACCCAGAGAGAAAAGAAAGGAGGAUUGUUGCAGUCCCUGUUAGCACCAUUUCCCCCCACUCUGCAGGCCCCAUGCUCUGCAUGUGGCACUGCUUCAGCGACGCUGCCUUGCUGCAGUGGGCAGGCAAGCAGCAGGAGGCAGGGCAGCCUCUGCAGCGGUGUGCUGGGCUGCGAGGCUCCAUCCCCAGGCUGGCGAUGCCCUGGGACCUGGGCAGCUGCACGGUGGAGCUCAGCUCUGCCUGCGCCUUGCCGUAAUCAUCUCUGUUGGGCCUACUUACAUCCCAUUCUGGAAAUGCUGCUAGGCCUUAGAACUGGGACAUGUUAUUUCUUCCUUCUACAGGACAUUCCAGUGUCAACAGGUUACCUAUACUAGAAUACAUAAGGUGUGAGUGUUACUAAUGAAAAGCAAAAGCAAACUUUACUUUCUAGUACCUAGGCUGCCUUUUAAAGAGAUCUGUGUUUUAGUUUGCCAACAUUUCCUGAUGUUAAUGGUGAAAAUGUUAGCACUUCUAUGAAGAAUCUAGAAUUGUAUUUUUAACAGUUUUUACCUAGUGCUGGGUAAAGAAAGAUGGAGUCCAUUUUAAGACCUUCCCCGAUGUUUUUUUACAGUUUACAGGAGAACUUACCCGCUGUAUUUCAGAUGCUCAGAGAUUCUUAGCAUAAUCUUAUCUACUUAAGGGUAUCCCAACAUGCACCUCUUCCAGUCAAAAAGGGGAGCAAAUAAUAAAAUGCAGAAAAAGAAGGAAAUGUAAAAAGAGGAAUGAAUGAUCAGUGAUCAGAAAAUAUAUGCAAACAAGAUAGCAGAAGUGCGGUGAAGAAAAGAAAGAAAUGAAAAAUGCCAUUUUUCCUCUCCGAAAAUGUGAGACUUGAAAGACUCACUCAAAAAUAAGAGAACAGGAGUGAUGAUGAAUACUCAAAAAGGCUCUAUUUAGAAUUACUACUGGAGUAAUUUAGAAUUUAAGAUUCUAAAUUGAGCUGGGGAGGGCACCAAGGCGCCUCCUCAACAGCUACUAAUAAAGGUUAACAACCGAAGGCCACUUACCUGGCUGGGCCUCAUCUCCUGUAUUUGCCUAGACCACCUUAGGGAUGUGCCUGCGAUAGAAAUUCUGACUUAUUAGAAAGCCUUACCGCUGUAACUACGCUGACAAGCCUUUUACAAUCUGAACUAGAACAUAACAAACAUCGCAGAGAAAGGACGCUACCAAGCAUGGGAAAUGAGGCAGUACACAGUCGCCAUGUGGACUGGCAAACACCACAUUCAGUUAAACACCGUAAGUUAUAUAUAUGGCAUUUCUAUUUGCCUUUUUGUCUGAUGAGUUUUUCCCAGGGAUAUUUACUUUAGAGGAGAGUUAAAGAAAAACGAGGAUUCUACAGAACUGGAGUUGCUUUUUACUUGAAUUUUGUAGCUUAAACAGUUGUUAAUUAGAAGUUGCAUGAAGAUUUCACUGUCUGAUUUUGUAUGCUUUGACCAUUGUACACUUCUGUUUUCUUUCAUUUGCACUAGGAGGAAGGAAAAAUGGUAGGAAAUACGAUCAUUUUAAUUUCAAGAUUAAGCCACAGACAUUUUUCAUGUCAUCUGCACAGGUGCAUGAAACAAUUCAGAAGCAACUCAGCACUGUGAACUUCAGUGUACAAAGCAGGCUUAGAUCUUAGAAAUCCAUCUUAAGGACAGGCAAAGUAAAGGAGCAAGACACAGCAGUAGGCACGCACCUACAGGAGCGGCUUCUGCCCUGUUUGCUAUCUGCCUGUGCAAUUCCUUUUGUGAACAGUGCAGGUUAGGUGCUGCUCCUCCUCAGCUCAGUGGGAAUUUCUGCAUUGGCUUCAAGGAGAACAGCAAGACCACUUCUCACACCUGCCACUCACACUGUGUGCUCUGAAAAUGUAUGUUAGGUUUUAUUUGGAUAAAGGCAGAUGAUGCUUUGCCAGUGUUUUUCAAGCAGCACAUUACCUAUGAGGAGAGAGAAAUUUAAAAAACUCACUGAUUUACCAUGUUAAAAAAAGAUGGCACAUUUAUUGCUACAUAAAUGUUAUAUACAUAGUGUUUUCUGUUACAUUGACAGAAAUUUUUUGAACUUCUUGCUGCUGGUUGGAAAGGUUUAUCAGCAAUACCUUGAAAUUUGACACAGGGUACAAAUCUGCAAUAAACCAACAAUGGAAACUGGAGAACAAGAUGAGAAGCAAUUCAUCUCGGACAAUUAGCUCUUACAAUACUCCAUAGGUACUACACGGUAUGCUAGAACCCUACUAUGGUCUUACAAUGCUAUUGUAAAUUUCUGAUAUUAAUGAACAGGUUAUGGUAAAUAACCCUACAUUUUUACUACCUAAUAUAGUAAAAUAAAGUAAGAAACUUUUUACUGAAAACUUUUUCGAUUUCAAAAAUCUAGAAAGAGUAAUAUUUAGAAUUCAAGAAAUUUUCUUACAAGAUUAUUGUAUAAAAGACUAGCUACAGUGAAAAAUAAGCCAAAUGUUUUUUUCUUUCUAUUUUAUGAAGGAAAGCUUCUGGGCAUACUGCAAAGUCUAAUAUAGCCAAAAAGACAACAAGCUUAGAAGGAAAAAGGCCAGGCAGUGGCACGUGAUCACUUUCACACGUCAUAAGCAACAAAUUUGUUUAGCUGAUAAACACUGAAAUGAAGAACAAGGCCACAGAUAUAAUCAGGUGUUAUCGAUGGUAUAUGCAAAUUAAAGUAAUAGAAAUGAGUCCACUAAUUUCACAAACUGUUUUGUUAGGAACCAUCCAAAACAUGAGCUUAAAUUCAUUAGUUUAUUUUAACAAUCCAGCUUUUGUUCUUUCAAAUUAAAUGACUUGAUAAAAAUUAUUGUUUUGUUCCUGGUUUGUGUGUGAACCAAUUGCCAGUGAUGAAAGAUGCACUAUAUAACAAUAGCUCAGACAACCUUGGCUUAGGAAAUUUCCUCCCAUGGUCAUUGCAGUGGAAGACAGUUUCCAUGGAAGUUCAAAGGGAUUUUAACCAUUUCAACACAUUUGUGACAAAGGAAUACUUAUGGACACUGUUCUGGUGGAUUAACAUUUUAAUGCUAAUAUGGCUUGGGAGGGGUCAUUUGUUUGCACUUGAUUCACAUGGAUUUUUUUCUCCACUGACAAGCCAUACAAAAAUGACAAGAUAAUUGAUGUAUACAGUAAGGAAAAGUUGGUGACCAUUGCUCUUAUAUUCCAUUAGUUAAAUAAGCCCACCUUACUGGUGGUUAUAUCAUCACACUACCUGCCACGGUGAAUUUAGGAUUUUACUAUUCACCAAAAUUGCAGCCUGAAAAAAAUCUCCUUUGUAUUUUAAUGCAUUUUGUGCUUACGUACAGCUAACACUUUACAUGUACUAUAUGUAGUACUUACUGCUCGGAAAACAAAGCAACUCUAACAAAGUAGAUUCUCCCCACCCAAUUUACACUUCACGUUACAAGCUUUACUAUGAAGCCUAGAAGCCUAAAAA